rnacentral:lncRNA from 1 species
ACCGAGUCUGCGGGGCUAGACGCUGACCGCCCGGGCCAGCACCUAGGCGGGCGGGAGCUGUGCGGCCCAGGGUUCGCGCGGGCCGGGUAGAGGCUCGAGCCAGGACCCCCGAGCGUGAACCCCGGAGCCGGCGGCGCUGGGGCCAGAGGGGCCGGGCGGGAGGUGAUGGCGGAGGCGAAGGGGCGACGGGACCUGGGCCUGGCCCGUGUGUGUCCUCAGAGGCCUGGCGCCGGCCGUCGCUGUACGGUGAGCCCCAGGGAGGCGGAUCUGGGCCCCGAGAAGGACACCCACCUGGAUUUGCCCCAUAGGCCCGGCCCGGGCCCCUCGGGAGCAGAACAGCCUUGGUGAGGUGGACAGGAGGGGACCUCGUGAGCAGACGCGUGCGCCAGCGACAGCAGCCCGCCCCGGCCUCUCAGGAGCCGUGGGGCAGAGGCUGCGGAGCCCCAGGAGGGCCGGAGCCCUCAUGACUUCAGUGACCUGCUUCUGCCCCUCUAGGUCUAUCAGCCACAGUCUCUGCAAGUUUCCAAGAGCAGCAGAAAAUGAACACAUUGCAGAACCUCACUCUGUCGCCCAGGCUGGAGUGCAAUGGCGUGAUCUCGGCUCACUACAACCUCU